UCUUUUCCAUCAAUCAUAAUGCUAUGGCCAUAGACUUAAGGACUCAGCUUCUUAAAUCUCAUAGGACUACUUCCUUCUGUAAGGAUCGAUAGAUUCCAUCUUGAUGCACACCUCGCUCCUACAGUGGACCAACUGUCACCAACAUCUACUACAAGGGCUGUUUGAGAUCCUUGUUGAUGUGUCAGUCAAACUCCAGUAGCCUCAUUAUGAGUAGUAAUGUCACC
rnacentral:lncRNA from 1 species